CAGCGAGAUGCAUGCGCCGCUGUACUUCAUUCUGUGUGUUUACUGAGGUGUGCUGUAACAGUUUUAACUCCUGCUCUUAUCCAAUCAGCUCUCUCGGUUAGGAUGCGCUGCUGUGCACAAGGUGAGCGACCCAUCUGAAGUGACCCGUGACAAGCAGAAUACAUUUUAAUCAGACUGGAAGCUGCGGCCAAUAAAAGUGUCAGACGAAUGUAUAAGUAGCUCAACAUUCCUGUGGGUUCAACCUCGCCUUCGGAUUCCUGGAGAAACGAAC